rnacentral:rRNA from 1 species
UUAAGCGACUAAGCGUACACGGUGGAUGCCCUGGCAGUCAGAGGCGAUGAAGGACGUGCUAAUCUGCGAAAAGCGCCGGCGAGGUGAUAUGAACCUUUGACCCGGCGAUGUCCGAAUGGGGAAACCCAGUGCAAUCCGUUGCACUAUCGUUAACUGAAUACAUAGGUUAACGAGGCGAACCGGGGGAACUGAAACAUCUAAGUACCCCGAGGAAAAGAAAUCAACCGAGAUUCCCCCAGUAGCGGCGAGCGAACGGGGAGCAGCCCGGAGUCUGAAUCAGCUUGUGUGUUAGUGGAACGGUCUGGAAAGUCCGACGGUACAGGGUGAUAGUCCCGUACACGAAAGCACACUUGCUGUGAACUCGAAGAGUAGGGCGGGACACGUGGUAUCCUGUCUGAAUAUGGGGGGACCAUCCUCCAAGGCUAAAUACUCCUGACUGACCGAUAGUGAACCAGUACCGUGAGGGAAAGGCGAAAAGAACCCCGGCGAGGGGAGUGAAAAAGAACCUGAAACCGUGUACGUACAAGCAGUGGGAGCCUCUUUAUGGGGUGACUGCGUACCUUUUGUAUAAUGGGUCAGCGACUUAUAUUCUGUAGCAAGGUUAACCGUAUAGGGGAGCCGAAGGGAAACCGAGUCUUAACUGGGCGUUAAGUUGCAGGGUAUAGACCCGAAACCCGGUGAUCUAGCCAUGGGCAGGUUGAAGGUUGGGUAACACUAACUGGAGGACCGAACCGACUAAUGUUGAAAAAUUAGCGGAUGACCUGUGGCUGGGGGUGAAAGGCCAAUCAAACCGGGAGAUAGCUGGUUCUCCCCGAAAGCUAUUUAGGUAGCGCCUCGUGAACUCAUCUUCGGGGGUAGAGCACUGUUUCGGCUAGGGGGCCAUCCCGGCUUACCAACCCGAUGCAAACUACGAAUACCGAAGAAUGUUAUCACGGGAGACACACGGCGGGUGCUAACGUCCGUCGUGAAGAGGGAAACAACCCAGACCGCCAGCUAAGGUCCCAAAGUCAUGGUUAAGUGGGAAACGAUGUGGGAAGGCACAGACAGCCAGGAUGUUGGCUUAGAAGCAGCCAUCAUUUAAAGAAAGCGUAAUAGCUCACUGGUCGAGUCGGCCUGCGCGGAAGAUGUAACGGGGCUAAACCAUGCACCGAAGCUGCGGCAGCGACACUAUGUGUUGUUGGGUAGGGGAGCGUUCUGUAAGCCGUUGAAGGUGUCCUGUGAGGGGUGCUGGAGGUAUCAGAAGUGCGAAUGCUGACAUAAGUAACGAUAAAGCGGGUGAAAAGCCCGCUCGCCGGAAGACCAAGGGUUCCUGUCCAACGUUAAUCGGGGCAGGGUGAGUCGACCCCUAAGGCGAGGCCGAAAGGCGUAGUCGAUGGGAAACAGGUUAAUAUUCCUGUACUUGGUGUUACUGCGAAGGGGGGACGGAGAAGGCUAUGUCAGCCGGGCGACGGUUGUCCCGGUUUAAGCAUGUAGGCGGAGGUUCCAGGUAAAUCCGGUACCUUAUUAACGCUGAGGUGUGAUGACGAGGCACUACGGUGCUGAAGUGAUAAAUGCCCUGCUUCCAGGAAAAGCCUCUAAGCAUCAGGUAACACGAAAUCGUACCCCAAACCGACACAGGUGGUCAGGUAGAGAAUACCAAGGCGCUUGAGAGAACUCGGGUGAAGGAACUAGGCAAAAUGGUGCCGUAACUUCGGGAGAAGGCACGCUGAUAUGUAGGUGAAGCCCCUGCGGGCGGAGCUGAAAUCAGUCGAAGAUACCAGCUGGCUGCAACUGUUUAUUAAAAACACAGCACUGUGCAAACACGAAAGUGGACGUAUACGGUGUGACGCCUGCCCGGUGCCGGAAGGUUAAUUGAUGGGGUUAGCGGCAACGCGAAGCUCUUGAUCGAAGCCCCGGUAAACGGCGGCCGUAACUAUAACGGUCCUAAGGUAGCGAAAUUCCUUGUCGGGUAAGUUCCGACCUGCACGAAUGGCGUAAUGAUGGCCAGGCUGUCUCCACCCGAGACUCAGUGAAAUUGAACUCGCUGUGAAGAUGCAGUGUACCCGCGGCAAGACGGAAAGACCCCGUGAACCUUUACUAUAGCUUGACACUGAACACUGGUCCUUGAUGUGUAGGAUAGGUGGGAGGCUUUGAAGCGUGGACGCCAGUCUGCGUGGAGCCAACCUUGAAAUACCACCCUUUAAUGGCUGGUGUUCUAACGUAGACCCGUAAUCCGGGUUGCGGACAGUGUCUGGUGGGUAGUUUGACUGGGGCGGUCUCCUCCCAAAGAGUAACGGAGGAGCACGAAGGUUGGCUAAUCCUGGUCGGACAUCAGGAGGUUAGUGCAAUGGCAUAAGCCAGCUUGACUGCGAGCGUGACGGCGCGAGCAGGUGCGAAAGCAGGUCAUAGUGAUCCGGUGGUUCUGAAUGGAAGGGCCAUCGCUCAACGGAUAAAAGGUACUCCGGGGAUAACAGGCUGAUACCGCCCAAGAGUUCAUAUCGACGGCGGUGUUUGGCACCUCGAUGUCGGCUCAUCACAUCCUGGGGCUGAAGUAGGUCCCAAGGGUAUGGCUGUUCGCCAUUUAAAGUGGUACGCGAGCUGGGUUUAGAACGUCGUGAGACAGUUCGGUCCCUAUCUGCCGUGGGCGCUGGAGAAUUGAGGGGGGCUGCUCCUAGUACGAGAGGACCGGAGUGGACGCAUCACUGGUGUUCGGGUUGUCAUGCCAAUGGCACUGCCCGGUAGCUAAAUGCGGAAGAGAUAAGUGCUGAAAGCAUCUAAGCACGAAACUUGCCCCGAGAUGAGUUCUCCCUGAGACUUUAAGUCUCCUGAAGGAACGUUGAAGACGACGACGUUGAUAGGUCGGGUGUGUAAGCGCAGCGAUGCGUUGAGCUAACCGAUACUAAUGAACCGUGAGGCUUAACCUU